rnacentral:ncRNA from 1 species
GUACUGCAUUAAGAACGUUAUAGACGUACCAACCGACAAACUCAUUGCACGGUGGUUUUGAAUGCGGGUGUCUCUACCAAAAUAAUGAGAAAU